UACGGAGGGGGCUAGCGUUGUUCGGAAUUACUGGGCGUAAAGCGCACGUAGGCGGGCUGGCCAGUUGGGGGUGAAAGCCCGAGGCUUAACCUCGGAACUGCCCUCAAUACUGCCAGUCUAGAGUCCGGGAGAGGUGAGUGGAAUUCCUAGUGUAGAGGUGAAAUUCGUAGAUAUUAGGAAGAACACCAGUGGCGAAGGCGGCUCACUGGCCCGGUACUGACGCUGAGGUGCGAAAGCGUGGGGAGCAAACAGG
rnacentral:rRNA from 1 species